AUGGCGACUGAGUAAGAACAAGUAGCCGAGUCAUGAAUACAAACAUAUAAUUCGAGCAAAGAACGGGAGAGCUGUAUACCUCUAUGAUGAAAAGCAAUAAGACUGACUAAAAAUUAGCUGUGUCAUGCUUGAUCCGUUAACGUUUGACUAGUUUAAAUUCAUGAGUCAUUAUUGCCAACACUUUUCAAGGCAGAUGAAGAAUUUUAUGUUGGGGUAGUCUCAGCACAGCAAGCAACAUUCGUCAAUCAUUAAAAUUAUUUAUGCAACUGUUCAUUCAUCUUGAAUCAAAUGAUAUUUCUGUUUUAUCUACUGAAUGUUGGAUAAUCCAGGCAAACACUGGGCCAUUUCAACAUUGAAAUGGAAAUGAAGAUAUUAAAUUAACAAGUAUAAUUGAUAAAAUGCGAAUAAAGGCCCAGUUAAUGUUCUACAUCUACCCUGUAGAUCCGAAUUUGUUUGAAAAAAGGCGACAAAUUCGGUUCUAGAGAGGUUUGUGUGGUGCAUACAGAGCUACAUUGGUCUCAACAAUUAAUUUAUAAAAUAUAAAGUUACAAGUCAUCAUUGUU